GUUCACUUGGGUAGCACAUACUAAAAUUGGAAUCAUACAGAGAGGAUUAGCAUGGCCCCUACAGGAGGAUGACGUGCAAAUACAUGAAGUUUUGGAGGUGAGA